AGCAACCAUUAGCAAGAAAGCAGAAUAGGAAGACAGAAGAAGACUGGUUCUUUGAUGACAUCUUUAAAUUUCCAAUACCAGCCCUGGUCCUACCUACCAAUAGACAUGUGCUGAUGCCAAGAACACUUCCGGCUAAACUUUCUGCAUGCUAAUUUCCAUCUCAGAUUUUUUUUUCCUGGGGAACUGAACUGCAACACACAGGAUAAUUAUAUUUUCACACUUUUCAUCUGUGCUGCUUAACAAUCUAAGUUAGGCGCCAAGCUCAAUGUGGAGCCCAGUGCAGGGCUUGAACUCAC